GGUGGCUCAGUGUUGGAGUGCUUGCCUUGCAUGCAUGAGGCCCUGGGUUCAAUUCCUCAGCACCA
rfam:Dipodomys ordii contig_51913, whole genome shotgun sequence.